CAGGUUCAGUUUUUAAAAACAAUAUAGAUAUUUGCCAAAUUCUCAGUACAUGAAUGGAAUCCGGCAACAGAAACAGCCCAGUUUAGUUUUCUCCCAGGGUUUUUAUUAAGUCUUUAAAACAUAAAACGUAUUAUACAUGAAUGUGAAUGUGAAAUAUUUUAAAUACUACAAGUACAUACAUUAUAUUUCUGCUGCCUUCACUGUGACUUGUAUCCUUACAGCAACAGUGGAGAGGGGCUCAAAUAUGUUGCAAUUUAUUCAAUAAUUAUAGGCCUAUGCAAAUGCCGAAAUAUUUUAUCAUUUUGUUACAACUAGGAUUAUGUACAAUAUUAAUAUUAUAGAUAUUGUUUUAAUUUUCUAAUUUUACCCAAAUGAAAGGUUGUAUUGGCAAACUAGAUAGUUAUAACGACCUUAGAAUUUGCGAAAUGCUUUGAGACUGUUGAAACCCCUGCACCAUCAACUUGUUUGGCAGUAUCCUGCCUCGAUUUAAAACAAAACACAGAACAAGCUCUUGCGUAUUAUUAUGUUUAUUCAGGCAAAGCAUCAGAUAAAUUACAAAUCUUAAUCAUAUACAUUGUAAAAUACAUUAAUAAUGUCAAUUAGGGAUCACAAUGAAUUUUUGGCACAUUGCUAUCAUAUGUACGCAAUAGCACUUCAGAUAUUAUCACAGCUAUAGCCACCAACAACAUCAUUAUAAAAAAAAUACAUGCUUAUCACGUAUCGAAUCAGAGAUAAACACCAUCUACAGGUGAUAGUGGAAUAUUGCUACAUGAAUAUGGUAAGUUGACGAUGGAGAAGCUGAAAUCAUCACGUUUGUCAAUAAGUUGAGUUGUUAGUUUGCCGUUAAUAUCUACUUUCAAUAAGAUAUCUAAGUAUGAAACAGAAGUGGAUGACUCUGUGGUGUACUUUAUUUCGAAUUCACAGGGAUAUAUCGAAUCGACAUAUGAAUGAAAAUUAUUAUUGUUAAUAGAUAAAAUGUCGUCGAUAUAUAUAAAUGUCGAAUUGAAGGCCACAACACGAGAUUUUUUCAUCUCAUGUAGAGGUUUAUGAAUAAAUUCUGCUUCAUAAGAAUAUAAAAACAGGUCAGCUUAUAAAGGAGCACAAUUCGUGCCCAUGAGAAUCCCAACAGACUGUUGGAAGACCUGAUCACCAAAGACUACGAAGAUAUUGUCAAUGAUGAACUCAAGCAUAUUGAUGUUACAGGGGUUUCAACAGUCUCGAUCGUUUACAGUGAACAAUUUGCAAAUUCUAUGAGCAUUGUAAUUAUCUAGUUUGCCCAUGUAACCUAUCAUAAGGUCAAAUAUUGUUUGACGUAUUUCACACCGAUUGUUGGGCCGUUUUUGGCACACUGAUUUUGACUACGGAUUACUCAGUUUACCUGAUCAAGACAUUGCUCACGACGGGUGUGACCGGUCGACAGGAGUGUUUAUUCCUAGGUACCUGAUCCCACCUCUGGUGUGUCCAGGGGUUUGCCCAACUCUUUAUUUUGAAUUCCUUGUGAGAAUUAUGAGAUUGAUUACUAUUCGUUGUCUUCGCCUUUCAUGUACAGAUUGUUACCUUGAACGUUAAUUAAUCUUGACAUAAAAACAAAAACCGAAAGCACUUUUCUGUGCGUCAAAAUAAUGUAUACAUUCUACAACUGUUUGGUUGUUGCAUACAAAACCCCAAGACGACCAUUAAAUAUAAGAAUUCAUCCUUGGUAACUUUAAAAGAACGAUAAAGUCACUUUCAGUCUAUUUUAAAAGAAUGGCACCCGAGGUCAUGUGGUGACUGAUGUACAGGUAUAGCAGUUUACCGAUGAGGUAUUGUUAAAAGUACAUGUAUUUAAAAAUCUCAAAACGUAUCUUUUUAAGAAAGUUUAUAACUAUAUUUUAUAGUGUAAACCAUUCUUAAAAGUUGUGGCCGUUAAUAUUAAUAAUUUAUCACAUGGACUCAAAAUAAUUUAAUUAUAUUAUCAUUCAUCUUCGCUAGACAAGUGUGACGCUCCACGGUGUUUCUCUUUUCACCCUUGGCGGAUCAAGCCGACUUUUGUUGAGGGGGGUUGACUCGAUCGAUCGAUCGAUCGAUCGAGAGAGAUCUCGAGAGAUCUCGAGAGAGAGAGAGAGAGAGAGAGAGAGAGAGAGAGAGAGAGAGAGAGAGAGAGAGCGAGAGAGAGCGAGCGAGAGAGAGAGCGCGCGUGCGAGAGAGCGAGCGUGCGCGUGUGUGCGAGUGCGCGCGUGCGUGCGUGUACGAGUGCGCGCGUGCGUGUGCGAGUGCGCGCGUGCGAGUGUGUGUGUGUGAGAGAGAGAGAGUGUGUUUGUGAGAGAGAGAGUGUGUGUUUGUGAGAGAGAGAGUGUGUGUGUGUGAGAGAGAGAGUGUGUGUGUGAGAGUGAGUGAGAGAGAGAGUGAGUGAGAAUGAGAGAGAGAGAGAGAGAGGGUUUAAACUCUCUGAAUUUUUUUAUUCAUUCUAUACUAAUAGGCCAAAAUUCAGAAUUUUCGUACAACGCUUAGAGAAUUUUAUACAUAUUGUUUUAACGCAAGUAAUCGCAUUCCCGAACCUUUUCUUCUUAUUCAAAAUAAAGUACAUUUGGUUCGAUUUUUGGUGUUGACUUAGCUGCGUUAAUCAUACUAAAUUCAUAUUUAUUGUGUAAUAAUUGGUUACUUUUUAAGGAUUUAAUUAGUAUUUUGCAAAAAGCUCUAAAUUCCGGUGUUGACAGAUGUGUUAGCAAGCAGCCACGUCUAUGGUUAGAGAAUGGUUUUAACCCCCUCCAAAUGAAAAAGAAAAAACCCGACCAAAUUCGCAGUCUACAGAAUCAAUACUCAAUUUCCGAGUUGCCCAAUAUAUAGUAUAUGGAAUCGUAUCUAAUGUAAAUUUUCUGUUAAAUAGUAUUGGGAAUAUAUAUAACCUUCAACUGAUCAAUUGAAUAAUCCCCCCUCCCCGGACGAUUUAGGGUUUUAGAAUUACGCAGAACCACCCCUUUCAACAUUUUUUUUUUCUUUUCUUAUUAAAAUUCAUGCAUUUUUAAAAUAAAGUACACCCCCAUCCUCACCCCGCGCACACGCUUUGAAAAAAAAUGGGUCCCGUAUUACAGAUUUACAGCGGACGGGAGCGAUUUUUUAAAAAUAUCUUACCCACCUGUCCUAAAUCAGCAACCGACUGAGAAAACUGUUGAUGCAUCAUCACAAUUAAUACCGACAUUGGCGGAUUUGUUAGCUCCCUUCUAUAGACCAGUUUGCUCAGAUUGUGUCAAACCCCCGUGCAGUGCGUAGAUCUAUACAAAUACACCGUUACAGGAGUAGAAUUUUGACCUCGUUGGCUUUCCGUAGCCGCACAGGUAAAUUGGCUACCCAGGUGAUUUAAUCAUAAACAAGGAGGCCAUGUUGGAUUUACAGUAAACUACAUGUACUUGUGUGAAUGCUGCACCCCCCGGCGCAGAGCCCAGGACAUCUUGCUGUGUGACUUCUGUGAAUUACCGUGAACGUUAGAAUAUAAAUCUUUGUAUGAAUUGUACCUAUCUACCCUGAAUAAAAAUACAGAUGAAAUCUCACAGAAAA